rnacentral:rRNA from 1 species
GGUAGUCCACCCCGUAAACGUUGGGAACUAGUUGUGGGGACCAUUCCACGGUUUCCGUGACGCAGCUAACGCAUUAAGUUCCCCGCCUGGGGAGUACGGCCGCAAGGCUAAAACUCAAAGGAAUUGACGGGGACCCGCACAAGCGGCGGAGCAUGCGGAUUAAUUCGAUGCAACGCGAAGAACCUUACCAAGGCUUGACAUACACCAGAACGGGCCAGAAAUGGUCAACUCUUUGGACACUGGUGAACAGGUGGUGCAUGGUUGUCGUCAGCUCGUGUCGUGAGAUGUUGGGUUAAGUCCCGCAACGAGCGCAACCCUCGUUCUAUGUUGCCAGCACGUAAUGGUGGGAACUCAUGGGAUACUGCCGGGGUCAACUCGGAGGAAGGUGGGGAUGACGUCAAAUCAUCAUGCCCCUUAUGUCUUGGGCUUCACGCAUGCUACAAUGGCCGGUACAAAGGGCUGCAAUACCGUGAGGUGGAGCGAAUCCCAAAAAGCCGGUCCCAGUUCGGAUUGAGGUCUGCAACUCGACCUCAUGAAGUCGGAGUCGCUAAUAAUCGCAGAUCAGCAACGCUGCGGUGAAUACGUUCCCGGGUCUUGUACACACCGCCCGUCAAGUCAUGAAAGUCGGUAACACCUGAAGCCGGUGGCCCAACCCUUGUGGAGGGAGCCGUCGAAGGUGGGAUCGGUAAUUAGGACUAAGUCGUAACAAGGUAGCCGUACCGGAAGGUGC